AUUGCGACUUGGUCUCGUAAUUCUUCUCCGAUAUUCUUUUUUUUUUAAAAAAAUCUUCUCCGAUAUAUUUUCCCCAAGGCAAGGGUUUGAGUUUUCGGUGGGACAUUUUCGGUUGAUCUGAUAAUCGCAUCGAUCUGCUGUCGUCGAUUGCAGAGGAAAACGGUAGAUUUUGCCGCAGGCGACCGGCGUUCCCCAAACUCUGUGUCCGCACAUGAGUCCGUGCAGCAAGCUCCGCCGCCUGACGCGCGGCGACGACGACGCCGGCGACGGCAAGACGAUGUUCCCGGACUGGGCGUCGCUGCACCAGGAUCUGGUGGAACUCAUCGGGUGCCGGGUACUUGCCGGCGACCUGCACGACUACGUCCGGUUCCGCGCCGUCUGCUCCCACUGGAGCGCGAGCACCGCCCGCCCCCGCGGCCGCGGCGUCCUGGACCCGCGUUUCCACCCGCGCCGAUGGAUGAUGCUGCCGGAGGGCCACGGCCUCUACCCGGGCCACCCGGACCUCCGCGGCUUCGUGCGCUUCUUCAACCUCGACACCGGCGCCUUCGCCCGCGCCCACCUCCCGCUGCUGGCCGACCACGUCGUCCUCGAUACGGUCGACGGUCUCCUCCUCCUCCUCCACCGCAACGACGAAACUGCCAUCCGCCUCCUCCACCCCUUCACCGGCGACGUCGCCGAGUUCCCGCCGCUGGCGUCGCUCCUGCAACAGAUGGAACCAAGCAACUACUACGAGCAAACAAACAUGCGCAGGAUGCUCAUGAGAGCUCGCGCCUCCGUUACCGUCACCUCCUCCGGGGCCAUCACUCUCGUGCUGGCCCUUGACCACCUGCAUCGCGUAGCCUACGCCACCGCCGGUGACCAACGCUGGACUCCCUCUGCCUGGAAGCUCAAACCUUUUCUCAAACCCGUAUCUUUCCAAGGCAAACUCUACGCAUAUCAGCUGUCACCCUUUGAGAUUGGUAAAUUAUACAUCUACCAAUUUGACCCGCCAUGCCCAGACUCCGGCGACGGACAGGGACAGUCCCGUCUGCCAUUGCCAGUGAAGAUUGCCGAAUGCCCAAUGGACAAAUUGUGUUUCGUCCUCCACUUUGUAGAAUGGUGUUCAGAGCUCUUGCUGGUUUCUUACAACGAUGUUUCCUUUUCGAAGCUGCUGGUCUACAGAGUUGCUGACCUUGUCAGUGGAAAGAUUGAGCCAGUAACGGACAUCGGAGACCACACCGUGUUCAUCGGCGAUCGUUCUCUCUGUAUCUCACUCUCACAUAACAAGGGGAAGGGGAGUAGGACUAGGAGCUUUGCUUCCAUGUCGCCGAACUCUAUCAUAUGCAUGCAUACUUUCCAUGAACCUUUUUCUGAAAUGUUUGCUCGUUUUGAGCAAUAUGAUCUAAGUACUGGCAUCUGGACUCCAGCCAGCGACGGAGACGUUUACAGAAGACCACCACCGAUCCCCCAUACACUAAUCCAUCAUAUCUUUACUUCCUGUAAAUACGAUUUUGAGAAUAAAGGAUCGAUGUAUUGCUGUACGAUUUGAAGCACAGCCUAUGUAGUUGGUGAAGCGAGAUCUACGGCAUGCGGCUUGAUGGUCUCUUGUUGCUGCUGAUUUUCUGACGCUCAAUGAUUAUUGCAACCUCUGCCGCUCCAUCUCUGUUAGUAUGCUGCUUCUCGUCCCAGUCGCUCCCUCCCCCACAAAUCUUCACCCCCAUCUCUCGAGAUCCAUGCUCAUGGCGGCGACCGGCGAGGAAAAGGCCGCCAGUGCGUGAUUGGUGACCUAGUGAAUUUCAGUUCUGAAGCCUGCCACGGCAAGAACUGAGGGAGGUCAGAGACACGCACAUGCUGAAAAGCUCAGAUCGUCACUGACAGAUGAAGAGAAGAGAGGUGAUGCCAUAAAUUAAUCUUCUGGGAUAUCGGCAAGUUUUACGAUAUCAGACACAUCUUGCAGUCAAACGAUAAAUAACUGUAUGUGAUAGAACACCGACUUUCGAUCA